rnacentral:tRNA from 1 species
UUCCCUGUGGCUCAGUUAGUAGAGCAUGGUGUUUGCAACGCCAGGGUUGUGGGUUCGAUUCCCACGGGGGACG